rnacentral:lncRNA from 1 species
GGAGAAAAACUUCUGAACUGGUGGCAGCUUCAACUAUAAGCUGUGACUGUCUUUGAAAACUCCACCAGAAUUACCAGCCUUGCAAGUAGUUAUAAGAUUGCUCCCUGGCUGAAAUCUGAAAAGACAAGGCAGCAAAGCAGGGGCCUAGGUUGCACCUGGCUUUGAGGAGUUACAACUGUGUUUGCAGAACAGGACGGGUGGUGUGGCUGUGCUGGCCUGUUUGGUGCACAGCCCUUUGUUACUCAAUUUGCUGACCUAUGAGAAUGGUGGUUUUCAAACAUGUGGAGUCAUUCCUUAGAAGAAAUACAGUGUACAUUACAGCCUGUAUCUUUGCAUGUAAAACCAUGGAACUAACUGAAAGAAAAGUUUAAUAAAUGGACAUGUGUUUCUUGUUUUCAGUAUAUGCCAUGUAUGCAUUCUAUUUUGUACUUUAUAAAACUAUUACUUAUAUAUAGACAAAUGAAUCUAUAACAAAUCUAUCUAUAAAUUAUGGAUAAAAUUGAAGGUGUACACUAUUUCUUUAUAUAGAUAUAGAUAAUAUAUAUUUUCUUUCUUU